rnacentral:rRNA from 1 species
UGGGGAAUUUUGGACAAUGGGCGCAAGCCUGAUCCAGCCAUGCCGCGUGCGGGAAGAAGGCCUUCGGGUUGUAAACCGCUUUUGUCAGGGAAGAAACGCUCUGGGCUAAUACCCUGGGGUAAUGACGGUACCUGAAGAAUAAGCACCGGCUAACUACGUGCCAGCAGCCGCGGUAAUACGUAGGGUGCAAGCGUUAAUCGGAAUUACUGGGCGUAAAGCGUGCGCAGGCGGUUAUGCAAGACAGAUGUGAAAUCCCCGGGCUCAACCUGGGAACUGCAUUUGUGACUGUAUAGCUAGAGUACGGUAGAGGGGGAUGGAAUUCCGCGUGUAGCAGUGAAAUGCGUAGAUAUGCGGAGGAACACCGAUGGCGAAGGCAAUCCCCUGGACCUGUACUGACGCUCAUGCACGAAAGCGUGGGGAGCGAAACAGGAUUAGAUACCCGAGUAGUCCCUGAGCGGGCUGGCAAGGCGCAU